CUGGUUGAUCCUGCCAGUAGUCAUAUGCUUGUCUUAAAGAUUAAGCCAUGCAUGUCGUAUUAAGUACAUGCCGUAUUAAGGCGAAACCGCGAAUGGCUCAUUAAAUCAGUUGUGGUUCCUUGGAUCGUAUCUUACUACUUGGAUAAUUGCGGCAACUCUAGAGCUAAUACGUGCAGCAGAGCUCCGACCCUUUGGAGACGAGCGCUUUUAUUAGACUAAAACCAGUCGAAACUCGUGUCCAUAUUACGCGGUGAAUCUAUAAUUUCGCACGGGCUCGUCUCGACGACGUAUUUUUCAAGUGUCUGCCUUAUCAAGUGUCGAUAGUAGGUUACGCGUCUACCAUGUCGCAACGGGUGACAGGGAAUAAGGAUUGGAUUCCGGAGAGGGACCUGAGAAAUGGGUACCACGUCCAAAAAAGGCAGCAGGCGCGCAAAUUACCCACUCCCAGACAUUUUAGUAAAGAUAUAUCGCAUUUCGUCAAAGUUGUCUAUUAUGUUGAAUUUCGGAACUCUAAUUAUAAAAUAGUUGGCCCAUUUUGAAGAAGUAUGUCAAUAACUUGCUUAAAAAUUUCCAUCAAAUUUCAGAAUUCAAAUAUAGAACAUAUU
rnacentral:ncRNA from 1 species